UACGUAGGGUGCAAGCGUUGUCCGGAAUUAUUGGGCGUAAAGAGCUCGUAGGCGGUCUGUCGCGUCUGCUGUGAAAAUCCAGGGCUCAACCCUGGACCUGCAGUGGGUACGGGCAGACUAGAGUGCGGUAGGGGAGAUCGGAAUUCCUGGUGUAGCGGUGAAAUGCGCAGAUAUCAGGAGGAACACCGAUGGCGAAGGCAGUGGUCUGGGCCGGAACUGACGCUGAAUAGCGAAAGCGUGGGUAGCGAACAGG
rnacentral:rRNA from 1 species